UUUAGUCAAUGUACUGUUUCAAUGAUGUUGAGGUUGUUUACUGAUUUAUCUUUCCCCUUCCUUUCUCGACUGACUUUGUUUUACUCGAUUCUUGGCUUAUGUCGUAGCCUAGUGAUUGAGUUAGAGUCGGCUCCUUGUUCGUUUGAGAUAUAAAAUGUGCUCUUGUAAGUGUUGUUGUUUGUAUGAGUCUUCAAAUUUCUUUUUCGAGUUAGCUGUCAUGUUAAAGGGUUCAUUUCGUUCAAAUGAAAUCCCUAAUAUAUCUGUGAUGCUGAUGUUUGUUUCAUGUUCGAUUUCACUGUCUCUUGGUGUUCAUUUUAAGACUAUUUAACUAUCACUAUCUCGUAUUCACUUACUAAUUUGUCAUUGAAUAUUCUUAUAUAUUUUUUUGUAUUCUGGCCUAUUAGCAUAUAAAGUUCCCUUUUCUCUACUACUGUGAAUGUUAUUUCCCUUUCAAAAAAAAAUAUAAAAUAAAAUAAAAUGAAGUUGGAGUCUUAGAGCUAGCUAAUAUGUAGCUCGUGUAUCGUAUAUCUGUUUCUCGAUGCGACUACAAUAGCAUUCAUGUGUGUGUGUUUGUGACUUAAGUAUGAGUUUAUUCCUAAAAAUUGCCUUUGUUUAAGUGCUCGAUGUUCUAAAUUUGUUAAUGUUGAAGUGUGCCAUUUUCUUUAAAGAGGUAGUAUGUGAGAUUUGCCUAUCAUGCUUUACCUUUAGCUUAUUCCAUCGGUCUCUAGCUUAUACAUAUGUUAGUAACGCCUGUAGGUUUCCUGUUGGCUCACAUUUACUUAAUUUCCACAAAAGAUAUUGCUUAUUAUGGAAUUUAGUAAUUAAGUGAGGUUUGCUUUUGAUCGUCAUAAUGCCAUUUGCUAGCAGCCAUGUUAAUUCAUUAAGUUUAAAUGGUCAUCAUGUUCUUUGGCCUUCUUAUUUAUUUAUUUUCAUUUUUCAGCUUUCUGUUUGGCCUUAUA
rnacentral:lncRNA from 1 species